ACCCAUGACUAUGACGUCAAGAUGCGCAACGUGGUGCGGUUCCUUGAAAACGGCGACAAGGUGAAAGUCACCUUGCGGUUCCGCGGCCGCGAAAUGGCCCACCAGAACCUGGGCCGGGAAUUGCUGGAACGCGUGGCCGAGGACGUCAAGGAAAUCGGCAAGAUCGAAAACAUGCCGAAGAUGGAAGGCCGGCAGAUGAUCAUGAUGAUCGGCCCGGUGACGAAAUAACGCCCAAGUAAGCCCUAUACGCCCCGCCCUUUCGGCGGGGCGUUUUCGUUGCAAGACUGCAGCAUGUGGGAAGAGCGGUUCAAGACGCCAGACUAUGUGUUCGGCA
rnacentral:misc_RNA from 1 species